UCCCUCGUGGCGCAAUUGGCUGUUCGUGAUUCCACGCCAUCCACCUGACAACACCGACUAACCUUCUACAGAGCGCGUUUGACUGUUAAAGCUCAGGCUAGAGCAAUCAGGAGGUUGGUGGUUCAAGCCCACCCGAGGGAG